ensembl:lncRNA
CUCACUGUCGUCUCCUCGCGUACAGGUUUCAAAUGGAGUUUGUCCCCAAACCACCACCUGGGAUAUCCCGCAGGUCCUCAGGAGGCAUCCCUGUGGAGGGGAAACCAAAGGAAGAGGAGGCUUUGCCACCUCUCGCACAGGGCAAGAAAGUGAGAUUUGCUGGCAAGCCAACCUUCAUCAAACGCUUGAGCUCGGACAGUCUAGAUGGAGGAAAACUCCGAAGGAUAAGGAGCUUACUGCGCAAGGAGAGCUCUACGUCCAGUCUGCUGCCAGCCAUCCCUGGAGUGCCUGAAGACCAAAAGCAGCCGCUGACCUGCCAGCUGCAGGGCCAGGCAGAAACAGACAGCCAAGAAGACCUGGGCCGAGCCCCGGGAACCAAACACGUGAGCUUCCGUGAGGAAGAACGGGAAGCGGAAAAAGCCCAUCGUGUGGCUGCGGUGCUGAAGUUGCCCAAAGCCAACGAAUCUUUCAGCAACAAUUCCAGACCUUCCUCAAGGGCUCAGUCCAGCCCGUCGCAGGCAUCGCAAGGCACUCCAUCCCGGCUUCCACUUCUGGCAUGCGACUCAGUCAGACUUCUCAGGCGCAGGGCUAAGAAGAGCAGGCAGAAAGAACCUGAGGAGAUGGAAGCAUCAACAUCUCAGGCUGAGGCCAGCCAGCCGCAGGAGUCCUCUGCUGACAGAGCUGGAUUUCUGCCACCGAUAAACGAAGAAACACAGUCUCCUCAGCGUCAGCCUCCAAACAGCAAAGCCCCACCGCGCAGGAAGGGCACACACUACCCACGCUGAUGCAGGCAUGGGGCGCCCAUGAGCUCCAAGACCUCCACUCGAGCUGGCUGCAAAACAGAUGCUUGAAUCCCAUCUGCAUCAUAUCUAAUCCUAGACUAGGCUGCCGAGUGCCCAAUCCAACCUGGCCUUCAACACUGCCACGGACGCGGCGUCCACAAGCUCUCUGGGCAUCCGCUUCCAGCAUCUCACCACCGUCUCUGGAAAGACCUUCUCCCUGACAUCCAAUCUUCAUUGUCCCUCCCUCUGUCAAUAAAGCCUUACCAUGGCCCUAUCCCAUAGAAAUCUCCACAAUGCCUGUGGCAGUGUCAUUGCGUCUUUGGACGCCAGCUCUGGUGCUGGCGGAGGGAGAAAGAAUUGUGAGAGGGCAUCAGAACAUCUCACGAUGCUUUCCUUGAUGCCAAAGGAAAUCCAGCGUCUCGCUUGGCUCGGCUGUCUGAGCUUUUCUGCUGAAGGGGAAGACCAAAAAUGAAGUCAGCUUCAAAUUGGUGUGGCAGCUCAGAG